rnacentral:rRNA from 1 species
CCUACGGGCGGCAGCAGUAGGGAAUCUUCCACAAUGGGCGAAAGCCUGAUGGAGCAACGCCGCGUGGGUGAAGAAGGUCUUCGGAUCGUAAAACCCUGUUGUUAGAGAAGAAAGUGCGUGAGAGUAACUGUUCACGUUUCGACGGUAUCUAACCAGAACGCCACGGCUAACUACGUGCCAGCAGCCGCGGUAAUACGUAGGUGGCAAGCGUUAUCCGGAUUUAUUGGGCGUAAAGGGAACGCAGGCGGUCUUUUAAGUCUGAUGUGAAAGCCUUCGGCUUAACCGGAGUAGUGCAUUGGAUACUGGGAGACUGGAGUGCAGAAGAGGAGAGUGGAACUCCAUGUGUAGCGGUGAAAUGCGUAGAUAUAUGGAAGAACACCAGUGGCGAAAGCGGCUCUCUGGUCUGUAACUGACGCUGAGGUUCGAAAGCGUGGGUAACAAACAGGAUUAGAUACCCGGGUAGUC